rnacentral:rRNA from 1 species
GACGAACGCUGGCGGCGUGCUUAACACAUGCAAGUCGAACGGAAAGGCCCUGCUUGCAGGGUACUCGAGUGGCGAACGGGUGAGUAACACGUGGGUGAUCUGCCCUGCACUUCGGGAUAAGCCUGGGAAACUGGGUCUAAUACCGGAUAGGAGCCAUUUUUAGUGUGAUGGUUGGAAAGUUUUUUCGGUGUAGGAUGAGCUCGCGGCCUAUCAGCUUGUUGGUGGGGUAAUGGCCUACCAAGGCGGCGACGGGUAGCCGGCCUGAGAGGGUGGACGGCCACAUUGGUACUGAGAUACGGCCCAGACUCCUACGGGAGGCAGCAGUGGGGAAUAUUGCACAAUGGGCGCAAGCCUGAUGCAGCGACGCCGCGUGGGGGAUGACGGCCUUCGGGUUGUAAACUCCUUUCGCUAGGGACGAAGCUUUUUGUGACGGUACCUAGAUAAGAAGCACCGGCUAACUACGUG